ACAGACAGACGAACAGAAAGCUUCAACUCAGAACCUGUCAACGAGUCGACUCCCGAAGUGUGCGAGUCGACUCCGAUGUUCACCGAGUCGACUCCAGGGUAGUAAGAGUCGACUCCAAGAGGAAUACAAAGAAAAAGUUAGAGAGCAGUUUUCGGGUCUGAGAUUCGAGUCGACUCCAGUGGAACGCGAGUCGACUCCGAUGGUUGGCAGGUCGACUCCAAAGACAGCAAGAGUCGACUCUCA
rnacentral:lncRNA from 1 species